UCCGGUGACUAUGGCGGAGGGGCCACACCCGUUCCCAUUCCGAACACGGAAGUUAAGCCCUCCAGCGCCGAUGGUACUGCUGGGGUGACUCAGUGGGAGAGUAGGUCGUCGCCGGAU
rnacentral:rRNA from 1 species